rnacentral:rRNA from 1 species
AAUAGAUACCCGGGUAGUCCACGCCGUAAACGAUGGGUGCUAAGUGUUGGGGGGUUUCCGCCCCUCAGUGCUGCAGCUAACGCAUUAAGCACUCCGCCUGGGGAGUACGGUCGCAAGACUGAAACUCAAAGGAAUUGACGGGGGCCCGCACAAGCGGUGGAGCAUGUGGUUUAAUUCGAAGCAACGCGAAGAACCUUACCAGGUCUUGACAUCCCGGUGACCACUAUAGAGACAUAGUUUCCCCUUCGGGGGCAACGGUGACAGGUGGUGCAUGGUUGUCGUCAGCUCGUGUCGUGAGAUGUUGGGUUAAGUCCCGCAACGAGCGCAACCCUUAUUCUUAGUUGCCAUCAUUCAGUUGGGCACUCUAAGGAGACUGCCGGUGAUAAACCGGAGGAAGGUGGGGAUGACGUCAAAUCAUCAUGCCCCUUAUGACCUGGGCUACACACGUGCUACAAUGGACGGUACAAACGGUUGCCAACCCGCGAGGGGGAGCUAAUCCGAUAAAACCGUUCUCAGUUCGGAUUGUAGGCUGCAACUCGCCUACAUGAAGCC